CUCUCAUAGCCUUUCGUGGAGAUUUCUUAGAACAAUCAUUCCUUCUUUGCAUCCAAACCUAAAAAUCCAAAGCCUCUGAUCUCCCUAAUUCAUAUUUCUCUUUUUCUCUCCUUAAUUCAUAUGACUGUCAAAAUGCAAAACAAGACUUGUUUACUUCUUUUCUUAGUUCUCAUUCUUUCUUGCUUCAUAGGUCAAAUCCUUGGGAACAAGCAAUCACAAGCACUUGCUGAACUUUACAAGUCCAAGUUGAAGGAAUGCUCGGGCAUCGACAUGAGCCAAUUCGAGGCAAUUCUUCACGCCAAUGGAACCAAAAUUCAUCCUCAGGAGGGGUUGAAGGAGAAGGACAGGAUUGAUAUCUUGCCUGGACAACCCCAUGUGAAUUUCUCUCAGUAUGGUGGGUAUGUUACGGUGGAUAAAGAAGCAGGUCGUGCAUUCUUUUACUAUUUUGCUGAAGCAGAGAAGGCUAAGGAUUCCUCACCUCUUCUUCUAUGGCUCAAUGGAGGUAAAUUACUUUCCUACUCUUGCAAUGUAGUCAACGUCACCAGCUCAAUGAUGCUGGUAUAAUUUGUCGCUGCUUGGAAAAUUAUGUGUGGUUGAUUGUGAUUUCCUCUUUGACCAUGCAUACAUUCUUUCCUUUAAUUCUAUUGGUUUUAGUUUUUUGGGUAUUUAAAGGGAUGAAAAUACAUCCCAUUAAAAUGCGAACAAAAUAAAUGAAUCUCUGUUAAUUGUAAUUUACGCUAGAAUUUGCAUCCAUCAAUCGCUGACAAUGAUUCAUGCACGACGGACAAACUUCCCUCCUUUCAUAUUUUCUUUAACAAUAAUUAAUUACCAUUACUCAUUAUUUAAAUUUGUCAUUGUUAGAAACAUUUCAACUUUCAUUCACAUUCCCCAGGUGGCUUCCUGCCUUCCUCUUUAAUUUGAGGAAUGGCUGGAAUAACAAAUCCCAGAAUUCACUCUUGCGGAUGACAUCCCGGCGCUCAAGCUGUAGCUGUAUAUUUUUCAGCAGGGAAAUAUACAAAAAUUUAAAAUUCAACGUUGAGAAAGUUCUUGGUUGAUAAUAUGCAGCUCAAUUAUUUAUCAUUAAUAUAAUGAAUCUACCUUUUUUGGUAGAGAGGGAGUGUGUGAAGACUGUAACUUCCAGUGACAUUAUCUAUUAGUUUGAUGGCAAUUUAAUAAUUAUAUUACCUGUAUGUCUAUAAUUUAAACGUUGCAAUGACUUAAUGUCUUCACAGGACCUGGAUGUUCUUCUCUUGCCUACGGAGCAAUGCUAGAGCUUGGACCGUUCCGAAUCCACAGCGAUGGAAAAACACUUUACCAAAACAGAUUUUCAUGGAACUAUGGUAAAUCUAACACAAUUAAAAGGGACUAAAGUAUGAUUUUCAAUGCUUAAAGAAAUUGAUCUUCUUCUUUUUUUCUUUUUUCUUUUUUGUAUUUUUUUCAGCUGCUAAUGUUUUGUUCCUUGAGUCCCCUGCCGGGGUGGGAUUUUCUUACUCGAAUAAAACAUCUGAUUAUGAUGCCAACGGGGAUAGAAGAACAGCUGCAGAUAAUUAUGUGUUUUUGGUGAAUUGGUUGGAGAGAUUUCCAGAACACAAGGACAGAGAGUUCUAUAUUUCUGGUGAAAGCUAUGCAGGGCAUUAUGUACCUCAACUUGCACACACUAUUCUUUACCAUAAUAAGAGGGCUAACAAGACAAUUAUCAACCUCAAGGGCAUAAUGGUAACUCUCUCUCUCUCUCUCUCUCUCUCUCUCUCUCUCUCUCUCUCUCUCUAUUGUGAAGUAAAAAUCUAUUGCUAAUAAAUAUUGGAAUUUAGACUCUAUUUGGUACCAUGUUCUUGGAUUCUUGGUAGUUAGUGUGUAAUAACCGAUCUUAAAUUAAUAUUUAAUUGUUAGAGUAUUCAAAUAAAAGACAAUUUUACCUACAAAAUAUUUUAAUGGGUUUAAAAAUUGACUUUUUAUUUGAGACAGAAUUUGGAGAUUGUAGUAGUAUCGUUGCGUAGAGCAUAUCGAGAUGAGUCCGUGGACAUGUAGUGGGCUCAAAUCAGAGUUAUAACAAAGAAAUUAUGAUAUACGGAAGCCCAAUGGCAUAACCGUAAAUAUUUUUGGAAGUUAUUUUUUUAAGAGUGGUGAUUUUCCCACUCCAAUUUUAUCCACUUACACUCCAUUUUAUAACUAAAAAAAUGAGUGUAAGUGGAUAAAAUUGGAGUGGGGAAAUCAUUUAAAACCCAUAUUUUUUUUUUCUUUUCUCCCUCAAUUCUCUCUCUCACGACCAAAAUAGCCACCAAUCUUUGGCCGGUGACAUCUCCUCCCUCCAGCCAACGUAGGCACGAGACCACUUGCGUUAGAACUGCCUCAACCUCCUCCACCUGUUCCACCCCUUCUCCGACGAGCCUAGCUACUCCUUUGCUGACUGUAGCUCGAUAAAUUUCCAAUUUUUGUCAAAACUUUCCGUCGUUGUUUCUGACGAUUCCGGCUACCAAAAUUGUCAAUUCAUGUAUGCUUUUUCAUCCUCUCAAUGUGUUCUAGUUGAUGGGUGGGUUGAUUAGGAUUGAUUUUUGCCUUUUGGAACACGUUUUAUCGCUUACAUUUUCAGCCAAUUUUCGGCUCUUAAGUCCGGGCAUCUCCGGCCACUUUUUGGCCACGGUCCAAGAACAAAAAUUGCUCCACUCAUUGUCCAGGUCACGUAGGUAUAGGUCUCGACCAGUGGUGUAGAGGCUUUUCGGUCGUCAAAAUUUCUUUGGGCACCACACCCUGUUGAAGCUUGUGGUUGCGCGUGGGCACUAUUUGGGUGACCCUUUUGGUCCUAAAAUAAUCCCCAUGUCGUCCUGAGCACUACGGUAUGCUCAGAUUUCAAUUUGGUUAUCGUUUGACUGUCAAUCGGAUAUCUCAUAUUGAGCGUUAUCGUAGUUCGAUAUGCUCGGACAGUUGGAUAGACUUCAUUUUCAAAUAUGUUAAUCUAGGAAUUUCUAGGAUUAUGUGGGAAUUCGUGAAUUGUGAAUCAGAGUCCCGAAUACUCUGAUUCAAUAAUUCAAAAUUUAGGAUAAACAAUAACCGUCUGAUAAUGCGAUCGCAAGCGAUCCGACUACUUGAUAGAGAUUAAACUUGCAUAACGUGUUUAGUAGACUUGGUUUAACUUGUAGGAACUUUCAGAUCAAAAAUCGGAGGUCGUGGGCCCUGCAGGCCCAUUGACCAUUAUGGGAAGUUUGAUCCCUUGGAUGACCGAGAGUCUUCCGAGGUGGUUUCAUCCUUCAAGAAGUUCAAGAACGAUAUUAUUAAUGCUUGACUAUUAUGUGAUUUAUUUUGAUUAUUUUUGGAUUAUGAGAUUAUGUUAUAGUAUUAGUGGCGGAUUUUGAUGGAGUCUCGCUUUGGUAUUCCCGGGUGUUAUUUUGGUAUUCGAAUGCAAUAUUGGAAGUUAUGGGAUCUCUAGGGUAUAUAUUUAUUAUUAUUAUGAUUAUUAUUAAAGUAUAUGACUGAGUGAUAUUGGAUUAUUUAAAUAUUUGUGAGUUACUAUGUAAUCGCUUAUACUUUCUAAGAAUAUUAUAUUAUGUUUGAUUGUGUAAAGUUGGGAACGGCUUAUUAAUCGGAUUUUGGACGUGACUAGUAAAUUAAUUAAAUAUCUAAGUAUAUGUCUAUAUUUAACAUAUAUACUCAAUAGUUUGAAAAUGAUGAAUUAUGGACACUAGUUCUCAAUAGUAUGUGGUGCAAAUUCAAAUGUAGUUGAGAACUGAUUUUUGGAAAGUUGAGAAAAGAUUUGAAAAAUGGAUUUGUGGAAUAAGAGAAAUUUUAUGAUAAGUUUUGGAGUAUGGUUUUCAAACCCACCACAAGAGUAAUGACCACCCCCCCUCCAAAAUUGCCUUUGGAACAGUUUAGUCAUUUAUGAUAAUGCCCCACGAGUCUUAGGGAUACCUGGAUCAUGAGGAAGGAGGAAUGCUUCUCAGGUUGACUAAGUGUCCUCUUAGUCUUGUGAGGAAUGCGGCUCGAGUUGACUUUGUGUUUCUGAGACCUGCGAGAAUGUGUAGCUUAUGUGACACAUUGAAAUUGACGGUAUAAUGUGGGAAAUAAAUAUAAAAUGAUGGAAUUUACGGAAUAUUAUUGGAAUUCAAGGAAUAUUAGUGGAAUUGACGGGUUAUGGAUGGGGGUACACCUAGGUGGAGAGUAUUUGAGUUUUGAGAUAUUUUAAACUAAAAUUGAUAAUUUUAUCUUGGUACUUAUUAGUGAAGAUUUUAAUAUAUGUUUUCCAACUAAUGCGACAAGGAUUGAGAGUUUUCUAAGUUUUAAGGAUUUUAUAUAAUUCACAAUUAUUUUCUUAAGUGAUGAAUUUGUUUUUAAAUGUGAAAGAGGGAAACAUGUUUUAUUUAAAUUAUUAAUAUUGACGUUAAGGUUUCAUGUGGUCAAAUCUAUUGUAAUAAUUUCCUUGUUUUCCUACUUAUUUGUAAUAAGUUUAUUUUAUAUAUAUAUAUAUAUAUUUGUAUAUGCACGCAUGGGAUGAGUGGAAGAUUGUUCUGAAAUCAAUAGCCCUUACUUGAGUUUCAAUGGAAUGAUUUGCAAAUUUCAUUGAAAAAUAACAAUUGAUGAAGAUAUACAAGUGCAAAUGUGAAAAGUGAAAGAAUUAUGUAUGGCUUGAUCCCUUAAAAGGGUACAUAGGCAACCUAGAGUUACUAGUUGCAGCCACAAGAUCAGUUGUUGAAAAUUUGUUUAGUUAAGUUAUAUUGGAACUUGAUUACAUAUUCAUGUUGUUCUAAGAGUAGAGACCAGUUUCAGACAGCAAAAUGAUUUAUUUGGUAUAAAGAGGUCGAAACUAUUUAAAGUUAUUUGUCUAAUGCAUGCUAAACGUUUCUGGAUAUAUGAAUUGCUUUCUGUACAUGUGUAAAUUUUGGGAAACGAGCAAUUUACAGGGGAGGUUCUGCCGAAUUUUCGGUAGAAGUCAAACUUUAAAAUAAUUUUGAGUCUUAGUUAGAAGGGCAAUUUGGUUAAGUGUGCCCGACACUUGCUAGGUGUCGAACACGGACAGGAUUCGACGCAGAUUCCAAAGUGGAAUUUGAAUCGGGUCCUAUCAUAGUGAAAGUUGUAAUUGUAAAGGUCUUGGGAAAAUGCUUUGCAUUGGUCCCUCUAGAAAGUGGCUAAAUGCCCACAUUUGGUGGAGCAAAAUACUUUCCUAUUUGUCAUCAUAUAUCUUUUACUCUUCGUUUCUCAUAAAAUUUGCUUAUUGUAUGUUGUAAUGAAAGCAUCAAGUGGAAUAUGGUUGAGUAUAAGUCCAUAAAUUGGGUAAAGAAACAAAAAAGUUCUACAUGUUGGGAGGUGUCUGUCGGGCUCGUACAAUGUUGUGUAAGAAAUCCACUAUUGUUUAUGGGUCUCUAGUUUGGUUCUCAUAAUGAAACUCUCAUUUUUAAUCUCGGAAGAAUGGAAGAUGUUCAUUCACUGAUUUUUAGAACACUAAGAAAUGAGGAUCAUUUAAUGUCUUUUUUUUUUUAUUCCCAUGUUUGGUUUGUGUAGUAUUAAGAAUAAAAUAAUGUUCUGUUUUCCCCCCUUCUUUUUUUCCACUUCAAAUUGUCACCCUUCUUGGGUAAGUAAAAAAUUUAUUUGGCGCAUGAUGCAGAUUGGAAAUGCAGUGAUUAACGAUGAAACUGAUUUAAGAGGAAUGUACGACUACUUAGCAAGCCACGCCCUCAUUUCAGAUCAAACUGCAAAUAAAAUCAACAAAUAUUGUGAUUUUUCACCCAAUGCAACAAAGCAGCCUAAGGAGUGCACUGAUACCGCUGAUGCUGCAGCUAAGGAUACCUAUUACAUUGACAUUUUCAACAUCUAUACCUCCUCAUGCGUUUCCUCCAACCUCACUGCAAAACCCAAAAAGGCUUCAGUAAGUUAAAAACAACGCCCUUAAUUAUACUGCAUGUAGGUAUUUACCAUCUGCUGUUUUCAAAACAUUUUGUUGUGUUGAACUGCCGAGCUGCAGAUAUUCGAAUUCGACCCGUGCAGCGAGUACUAUGCUUAUGCUUAUUUGAACCGGCCAUACGUUCAACAAGCUCUCCAUGCCAAUGUCACUAAACUCACACAUGACUGGGAACCAUGCAGUGAUGUUAUCACAAACUGGGCCGAUAGUGCAUCGACCGUACCGCCCCUUUUAAAAGAGUUCCUGGCUAAUGAUGUUCGAGUGUGGAUUUUUAGGUGAAAUUUUGAUACUCUUCUUCUUCUUCAUCAUCUUAAACUUGUAAUUUGCUUCUCUGGAGUUUCAGUAUUUGAACUCUAAAGCUAAUCCAGCUCAUUCUUAUGGAAGUGCAGUGGAGACAUAGAUACAAGGGUACCAGUCACUUCAACAAAAUAUUCUAUUGAAAAGCUGAAUUUUCCAGUAAAGACUGAAUCGCAUGCUUGGUUUCUUGGUGGAGAGGUAGCUUCUCAUUUCCCCGUCGUUUUUGUCUUCGGAUUUUCAAAACCACGUCUUUGAAAGUCUUUGGCGUUAAUUAUUUUGGAUGUUUUAUUCAUAUAUAUAUAUAUAUAUAUAUAUAUAUAUAUAUUAACAGGUUGGUGGUUACACACAAGUGUAUGAAGGAGAGCUAACAUUUGCUACAGUGAGAGGGGCAGGGCAUCAAGUGCCAAGCUAUCAGCCUGCAAGAGGACUUUCCCUCAUCAAGCACUUCCUUGAUGGCACACCACUCCCUAAUACUACAAGACAUACCUAA
rnacentral:sRNA from 1 species